rnacentral:rRNA from 1 species
AGUCGACGGUACAGGUUAAGCUGACGAGUGGCGAACGGGUGAGUAAUAUAUCGGAACGUGCCCAGUAGUGGGGGAUAGCCCGGCGAAAGCCGGAUUAAUACCGCAUACGACCUACGGGUGAAAGCGGGGGAUCGCAAGACCUCGCGCUAUUGGAGCGGCCGAUAUCAGAUUAGCUAGUUGGUGGGGUAAAAGCUCACCAGGGCGACGAUCUGUAGCUGGUCUGAGAGGACGACCAGCCACACUGGGACUGAGACACGGCCCAGACUCCUACGGGAGGCAGCAGUGGGGAAUUUUGGACAAUGGACGCAAGUCUGAUCCAGCCAUGCCGCGUGCGGGAAGAAGGCCUUCGGGUUGUAAACCGCUUUUGUCAGGGAAGAAAAGUCUGGGGCUAAUAUCCUCGGACGAUGACGGUACCUGAAGAAUAAGCACCGGCUAACUACGUGCCAGCAGCCGCGGUAAUACGUAGGGUGCAAGCGUUAAUCGGAAUUACUGGGCGUAAAGCGUGCGCAGGCGGUUCUAUAAGACAGAUGUGAAAUCCCCGGGCUCAACCUGGGAACUGCAUUUGUGACUGUAGAGCUGGAGUACGGCAGAGGGGGAUGGAAUUCCGCGUGUAGCAGUGANAUGCGUAGAUAUGCGGAGGAACACCGAUGGCGAAGGCAAUCCCCUGGGCCUGUACUGACGCUCAUGCACGUAAGCGUGGGGAGCAAACAGGAUU